rnacentral:lncRNA from 1 species
CUCUUCUUACCAAUUGAGUUAAACUUAUAGGGACAUAAGUUUUCUCCCUCUAAGAUGAUCGUGGUUGAGGCAUGGGAGACACUACUUUAAGAUAUCUCUUUCAAUUAGAAUUUAAAGUUUAGUUUGUCGUAUUGUGGAAAACGGUCUUCUAGUUAAUCAAUGUUUGUUAUAAGUAUUUUCUCUGCUUUAAAUGAAUGUCAUUUAAGAUUUUUAGUCACGUAGUAUUAAGAAAUGCAAUAAUAUUGUCUAAAGAGAUGCUAACAUUUUUACCAAUGUUUUUUUGGAGAGGACUAAAAUAGCAUUGUUAACUAUUGUUGUAUUACCUAUCAUUAUUAAUUAAAGUAGAAUAUGAUGUUUUGGAUUACCUAUCAUUAUAAAUUAA